rnacentral:rRNA from 1 species
UACGGAGGGAGCGAACGUUGUUCGGAUUUACUGGGCGUAAAGGGUGUGUAGGCGGUCUUGCAAGUCAGGGGUGAAAUCUCUCGGCUCGACCGAGAAACUGCCUUUGAGACUGCAGGACUUGAGGGCGUGAGAGGAGACUGGAAUUCCUAGUGUAGCGGUGAAAUGCAUAGAUAUUAGGAGGAACACCAGUGGCGAAGGCGGCAUCCUGGACCGGCAUUGACGCUGAGGAGCGAAAGCUAGGGGAGCAAACGGG